rnacentral:rRNA from 1 species
UACGUAGGGUGCGAGCGUUUGUCCGGAAUUAUUGGGCGUAAAGAGCUCGUAGGCGGUGUGUCGCGUCGGCCGUGAAAACCUGGGGCUCAACUCUGGGCGUGCGGUCGAUACGGGCAUCACUGGAGUUCGGCAGGGGAGACUGGAAUUCCUGGUGUAGCGGUGAAAUGCGCAGAUAUCAGGAGGAACACCGGUGGCGAAGGCGGGUCUCUGGGCCGAUACUGACGCUGAGGAGCGAAAGCAUGGGUAGCGAACAGG